GGCAUCACUACGUAAGAUUUGGCACAACAACAAAUGCCUUCAUGUCCAUGUCGUAGUCCAAAGAGCAUCCAGGUGGCAACCUACAAGAUUGAAUGGUGUCUGUCACGUUUUGGCACAAGAAGAAAUAACGUGCUUGAAAUUAUCAAUAUGCCAAACAGACAAAAGAACCACCAACCAUACUCGAUCUCAAACAUUCGGAGAACCACCAAGGUUGUUGUCGCUUGGGCCUCGUGCAUGUGAAGAUCCAUCAGUAUUAGAUCCAUGGCCUGAUUGAUGAGGCAUCUGCAUAACGGGCAUACCAUUCUGGGUACAAUAAGCCUGCAAAUUAUGUUUGAGUGAACAUUAAGUACUGGUAGUAGAAGAGUUCAUGUAUGUCUGGCAAUUAAGGAACGAACCGCAAACAUUGCAAAGCAUUGACUAGUUUGUGCCAACACCGCCUGCUG
rnacentral:lncRNA from 1 species